GGGCCCAUAGCUCAGCUGGCUAGAGCACCUGCUUUGCAAGCAGGGGGUCAAGGGUUCGAAUCCCUUUGGGUCCA
rnacentral:tRNA from 1 species